CCUACCACAAGAGGAAGGGGUGGAAGUCUUUAUCAGUAACCCCUAGUUCUCAACCAGGCAGUGCAUCUAAAAGAUUUCUGUUAAUCCAGAAAAAUAACUGUGAGAUAAAUUGAGUUGAAAGGGAGAUGACUAUCCCAAGAUCACCCAGAGUGCUUUUGGGGCUGAGAAUGAACUAGAAGCUGAAUUUUGCCGAUUCUAAUCUAAGCGCUUCACCGUUACAGUACACUAGUUUGUGGUCCUGCAUGUUACGUGAACCAUCCAGUCAUGGUUCAUUAAGAAAUUGUUGUUAAAGAUACAUCUUAGCAAAAUGUUUUUAAAGACUUCAGAACAGGAUUAAAUUUUUCCUUUGAAUUAA